GUCAAGCCCACUCUAUCUAUCCCCAUGCUAGCCGAUGCACUCUGUUGGGUCUCAACGAGACCUACACUCCGGUAUUCAAGCCAACUCCAUGUCAUGGAGCAAGAGGCUCCAUCCAUGAGGAAGCUGUCCAUCACUUUCCUCUCAGCAAGAGGAAGAUGCUCACAAAACUCCAGGGGUCCUGCACCAUUAUUUCAGAUGAGUAAGGCUCAUUUCCAGCGAAGUAUGAACUGGUCCUUCUGGUAGACCAUGAUGACUUUCUGUCCCUCCCCCAUGAUGAGAGGUUGUUACCUACAGGUCACAGAUCAAUGGGAAGCCCUAGAUCAGGCUGUUUGGUGAGAGAAGACAUGUGAUCAGGAACUAGAGACAUUACAGAAAACCACAACUAAAUACAUUGCAGAGAUCAACGAUCGUGGAGGGAUCAAUCCCAUUGGAAACAUCUACAACACAAAAAUCCUGCACCAAAGGCUCAUGAAACAACAUGGAAGAGGGGAAAGAUUGUGACCCCUGUGAAAAGUUCACUGGAUCUCCAAAGGUCACAACCCACAGGUAGAGAACCACUGCUCUAAGGUAUCUGCAGAGGAGUUGCUGCUGCGUGAGGAAGCUACUUGUUGAGUUAGCUCUGUGUGCCACGCAGUCACUGAUGGUAUUAAGCUGGGCAAUAGCAUCCUCACUGUUUGGGUGGGAGCUCCACCUCAACCCCUGGCACCCUGGCAUCCCUAUACCCAAAGAGUCUGGAAUGUUCUGGUGGAAAAUCCACCUCAACUUCCCCCAACCCGGCCCUUCAAAGCCCUCCAAACACAGCUCCUCCCCCAGAGAGGCUCAAGACCACUCCCACAGGGUAUAUAAGCUGCACCCCAGAAAACAGACACGUGGUUCUUCUGGUCUCUCAUCCCCAUCUCCUCUCUGUGGAGCCAGGAGUCACCCAGGAACGCUUUACCCA